GAUGAACGCUGGCGGCGUGCCUAAUACAUGCAAGUCGAGCGAACAGACGAGGAGCUUGCUCCUCUGACGUUAGCGGCGGACGGGUGAGUAACACGUGGAUAACCUACCUAUAAGACUGGGAUAACUUCGGGAAACCGGAUCUAAUACCGGAUAAUAUAUUGAACCGCAUGGUUCAAUAGUGAAAGACGGUUUUGCUGUCACUUAUAGAUGGAUCCGCGCCGCAUUAGCUAGUUGGUAAGGUAACGGCUUACCAAGGCGACGAUGCGUAGCCGACCUGAGAGGAUGAUCGGCCACACUGGAACUGAGACACGGUCCAGACUCCUACGGGAGGCAGCAGUAGGGAAUCUUCCGCAAUGGGCGAAAGCCUGACGGAGCAACGCCGCGUGAGUGAUGAAGGUCUUCGGAUCGUAAAACUCUGUUAUUAGGGAAGAACAAAUGUGUAAGUAACUAUGCACGUCUUGACGGUACCUAAUCAGAAAGCCACGGCUAACUACGUG
rnacentral:rRNA from 1 species